rnacentral:rRNA from 1 species
UAGGGAAUAUUGCAAAAUGGGCGAAAGCCCGAUGCAGCAACGCCGCGUGGGCGAUGAAGGCCUUCGGGUCGUAAAGCCCUUUUUGAGGGGAUGAGGAAGGACAGUACCCUCAGAAUAAGCCUCGGCUAACUACGUGCCAGCAGCCGCGGUAAAACGUAGGAGGCGAGCGUUAUCCGGAUUUACUGGGCGUAAAGCGCGUGCAGGCGGAUUGGAGAGUUGGAUGUGAAAGCUCCCGGCUUAACUGGGAGAGGUCGUUCAAUACUUCCAGUCUUGAGUGCAGUAGAGGGCAGUGGAAUUCCUGGUGUAGUGGUGAAAUGCGUAGAUAUCCGGAGGAACACCAGUGGCGAAAGCGGCUUCCUGGACUGUAACUGACGCUCAGACGCGAAAGCUAGGGUAGCAAACG